UCGAGAAUGUACAAUCUUGCAGAAACGAAGGGAAUUUUUUGAGAUAUACGAAAUACAUGUGUUAAUAUGUUAGCGCUUGUACAUGUUAGACACAUGAUAAAUGGAGUCCUGAUACUAUAGAUAGAUAAUGAAGAACGCUUUCCAUAAACUGGCAAAGAGCAUAAACGAGCUCGAAAUGUACUGCUCAUUGUGGAGGUUAUCUCCUCAUAUUGCCAAUUUAUACCUCUAGUUCUUGAUCGAUUGAUGCAGCUUCCAGGUCUUCAAGACUGACUGGUUGGUGCAGCUGCAUUGAUGAAACACAAGUUUAAUAUAGGCUCAACAGAAGACUACAUCGCUAGGUACUCAAAGCAGCAUAAAUAAGCAUGUAACAAUGAUAAAAAGUCCAUAUAAAUGCAUCCAGACCAUUUUAAUUGCAGCUCCUACAUCGACUUCCUCUAUAUCCUCAUUUUCCAACAUUAGCGUUCAUAAGCAUUUAUCAGAGGAAAGACAACUAAAGAGAACCAAAAUUAGCCAAACAUUUGGUCGCAGAUUUGAGACUACUGGUGCUUAUUUGAUACUGUAACAACUCAAGUUACCAACACAACAAUGAUAUGUAUUAUAAUCGCUAAAGAACACAAAAUACAAUUGAGAAAUGGAAACAACAAGCUAAUAACAACUAACGUCCUUAAAUCGAAACUGAGAAGGUUAACCGAAGGGGAAGAUGAUCAGAAAAUAUAGAGAUAGAUAGAAGGGGAUGAGAAGCUCGACUAAGAAUGGAGAUGAGAGAAUCAGACUCUUUACUCAACAAUUUGUAUAAUCCUUGAAUCACAUCCCACUACCCUUUUUGAUGGAACCGCUCCCAUGCCCAUUUCUCAACCCGAAUCCAAAAUUAACCUGACCCUAUUGCUUGUUCUAGGCCCAAUAGCUCUUAUCAGCCCAAUAACUACUUUUGCGACCCUGGUAUCCACAUUGGCCUGGACUUGGUUCAUACAAGAUACUCCUCCCAACAAAACCAAGUAAGGUAGAUUAAAAAAGUAGUCAAACUUUGGAGAGGUAAAAUAGCUGACUCGAUGAUGCAUGUUUGGACAUGAAAGCCACAAUCUGAAAAACAUUUUAGGCAGCCAGGGUGUCAUGUCAAAGCAGGUACCAUAGUCAGUAGAAACUGUUGUUUGUCUAAGGAGCAGCUUUCAUAUGAACACUUGCUUUAGCAACUUAACAGAAAAUCAAACAGAUAAAUAGCAGGAAAGGCAUCUCCAGAUAACUAGGAUCAAGAAGAAACAUACUGCUGUUGCAACAGAAAAUAGGUGGAAGGCACGCAAGGAAGCAUCAUUUUCUGAGGGAAGAGAAUCAUGGUUCCACAAUGUUAUGUUUUGGAACUUUGCCUUCAUCUCCCAGCAACUUGAAUCUUCCUCGGACCUUUUUCUUUUCUCAACAGGCAUUUUCUUUCCCAAGACAAACCCUGAAGAAGCAAGAAAAUGGUUUCAAAUAACACAAAGUUAAGUAGAUUAAGAAGUCCCAAUAUAAAUUUGAACUACAAUAAUCGUAAGACUUUAGGUGGCAGAUAAGUGAUGUAAGUAAAUUUACAAAAAACAGAAAAAGACAAUACAACUGGAAACAGCAAUUCAUGCGAUGAUACAUAAUUAGAAUUACGUAUCUCAGAAUUGAGCUAUCAAAAUCGGGAUGGAGAGACUAGCACUUCCAGUCCAAUGCAAAAGCUGUAAGACAAUAGACUAUCAUUCCAAAAACAUUUAUCUUUAUUCGUUUGGACAUUUUCCUUCCAGACAAUUGUUCCAAGAUUGACACAAGUGUCUAAUGAAACCAAAAGCUUAACCAAAAUUUCUGUUAAAUCAUCAAAAGUUGGUAGCCAAACUACAAUCCAUGUAAACUAGCUAGGAUAAACUCUUGAAAGAUGAACAAGCAAACAGUUCAUCAGUCUAGUUGUUCCCCUUCGCCUUGCCCCUCCCUCAACCCCACACGCCAAAAGAAAAAUUAGAAAAUCACGUGAUUAUAAUCCUAGUUGCAGGUGUGAGAAUUCAAUCACAUGUCAUUUAUACAGGAUUUCACUGUAAUUACAUGGUAUUAGGCUCUGCCACCUCAACAACUAGCUUUUGGCAUGUGAUUCUCAUAAAGUUCAUAACAAUCGGUGUUUGAGCCAUCCAGUUAUGAAGCCUCCAAAAUCAAUCAUGCUGGAUGGGAAAUAAUAUCAACAUAACAGUGUUUCCUCAGUCCUACAGCAUAUAAAGCACAGUUGUAUGUGCAGCCACUCACCAAGAGCACAAUGUAGUCAUUGAUGGUUAUUAUCCAAGCAGCAAGUAUUGAGACUUUGAUCCAUCACUUGGGAUCCGAGUAUUUAGCUUUGAAUUAUGGUCCCCUUUGCUUAAUUUCUGACCAUACUGUUUGCACAAUAUUAUUUUACUCCCUCCAUUUCAAUUUAUUUAUCCUACUUUCCUUUUGUGCUGUACUAGGUUACCUAUUACCCUUACCAAUAUCCCCUUUCUAUUCAUUAUGUAUAUAUAAAUAGAGAUGGACCAGCGGCUUAUUGAGCCUUUUAUCACUUCGUACCACUUGUUUCCUCUUCUUCAGAUGUCUCGCUUCCUUCUUCUACAACAGAUAUUAUACCUACUCAAUCAAAAUUUGUUGUUUUGUCAGGAUCGUCUACUUCAUCCUUUUCAAUUCCUCCUUUGCCUUCUUUUUCUCAUUCUCUUCCUCUCCACACUGUUGGGCCAAGCAUUCUGCUAGGUUCUUCUAUAGGCCAGAUUGGCCUACCUUCGCUCCCACCUUGCAGUGGAACAAUAGAACCAACAGUUCCAUCUCCCUUCCACUCUGCCGCGGCUUUCACCAUACCUAGUAUCACUAAUUUGGUGACUAUCAAACUUAAUUCUGUUGAAGAUUAUCUCACUUGACGUAGUCAAGAAACUUAUUUACAUUCUCAAAUUUCGUGUCAAGUCAAAACCAAACAAACAAAUUAAAACAGAGGAAGUAAUAGACAAGCCCAUCCAACACCAUUAUUAAAGGAAAAUAAAUUAGUUUACCAGAAUAGCCAUGAGGAAUUACAACAGUAGUACCCUGAAGCUUCCUUCCUCUAAAAUGAGCUUCCUCCACACUUAACCCAUCAACAAUUACACCUUCAUUUCAUUCACAAAUUCAAACAGUGAUUAAAUAAAUAAAAGCAAAGUUCUUUCAAAAACUACGUUUUUAAUACCCAAAACCAAAAAUUCAAGUAGAGUAUGAACUUGACUUGCAUAAAUAGAAUAAUUAUACCGGUGGAUUUGGGUUUGAAGUACUGUGAAACAUCAGAUGGACCAUUGAACUUGAUACAGCACGGCAGCUGGUGCACUUUUCCGGUGAGUUCCACCACUUUCUCCGGCGAAAGAUUGCCGGUUAGAUCAAUUGUGCCUGAAAUUCCGUUGUUGCUUCUCGCCAUUGCUCGGUUGAACUGGUAACAAGUAUCAAAAGAACCCUAAAGGGUGUACCAAAGCUUAAGCCUUUAUUCAGAGUUGUUCCUGUGUUCAUAAUAUGGCAAAUUUGGAAAAGAAGGAACAAAAUUACACAUGGAGGGAAAAUGUCUAAAUUCUCUAUGAUUGCUGAAAUUAACAGGAAUCUACAUCUGUUGGCAGCAUACAGUUAUCCCUGGCUAGAUAAAAUUCCUGUGUUUUGGCCGUUAAUUGUAAAAGCAUUUGAUAAUUACAUUCCUCUAAUCUCUAGCAAAAUUGUUAAUUGGAAGCUCCCCGAGGAAGGUAAAUUUAAAUGCAACAGUGAUAGUGCUUACAAGGAUACUAUGGACUUCAUUGUCUCUGCAUUUUGUAUUAUUUCAUGUAUGCAUAAGUGAACAAGGUAUUGGUAGGAUCUGCACUUGAGGCAGAAGUGAAAGCUUUGGGUAGAAUAUUGCAUGACCAAUAAUUUGCUUGCAGAUUCACUUAUUGGUAAGAAGAUCAUAGAUGGGAUUUGGGAAAUUCCUUGGGCUAUUGUAGUUGAUAUAAGGAGAAUCCAAGGGAUGGUGAGAGAGCAUACAGUGGAGGUGUUACACAGAGAAGGGAAUAUGUUAGCUGAUUUUUUGACUGAACCAUAUCUUCAUUGCAGGUAUUAACAACAAACAAUUUCAUACUGUUACCACAGAGGGCCAAGGCGAUUAUCCAAACAUGAGAGUUACAAGGUGUCAAAAUAGAUUUCAAAGUCAUGACACAAUACACUAUACAAGCUUCACUGAAAACACAGGUAGCGCAAACGAAGUCUAUGAAGAACAAAGCAUUUCUGCUGAAGCAAUUCUCUUGAAAUGUAGGCUUACCUGAUGCUCUAGAUCCUUAUGCAGUGCUUUUCUGAGCUCGAGGAUAAAGAAACAAAGGGUGAGGAGGGGACUUUUCAAGCUUUAAAUGCUUCCAUUCAGCGACUUUUGAGUUGAAGAAGUGAGUCGCUCAAAUUCAAAAAUCUGUGUUUGUGUUGAAGAUAGAGAUCGGAAGUGAGGUUGCUGCUAGGGUGAUGGUCUGAUGGAUGAACACCGAUUCGUCACUUCCCUUUUUUUUUUUCUGGAUUUCUUUUGUCUACAUGGGCUUCGGUGGGGCACUUUUGGACCCAACCACUCUAUAAUUAUUCGAUUAAGCAAAUUUAUAGUACUUAAUUACUCAUCAUGGGCUCAUGGCUAUAGUUUGAUAUAAUUAUCAUUCGCGACUAACAUUAAUCAUUAAUUACUUGAAUAAGUCCCUUUUAAUUAAUGUUUACUAUUUUUAAACAUAUUUUUUAAUUAUUACCAUUUAUAGCAAUAUAUAAUAAUAUUAUGUAUACUUAUUUUAUUAGAUCUAUUAUUUUCUCUUGCGCUAUUUCUCCGUUUGUUUUUUCUAUCUCUCGCUAUUUUUUUCUUUUUCUCCCUGGCCCUGCAGCCUCUCUGCACCCCCCCUCUCUCUAUGUUUUUUUUCUUUCUUUUUCUCCCUGUACCUCCUCUAUCUAUGAUUUUUCAAUAUUAUAAAAAAAAAGUUAGGCUUUUAUCAAAGGCAAAAGAACUAUAGAAAAGUUAGGGAAAUUUUCAAAAAUCGAAGAAUUGGGGCUGCUUAGUUUAUAGAAGAAGUCGAUUAGUUUUUUAUUUGUUGCUUUGGCAUUGUUGACGAUUUUCAUUCUAAUAAAGGUUAUAUAAAUAAUUGUAUUCAUACCUGAUGAAAACUUGAAGAUUUGAAUAUUUGUAUAUAUGAAGAUAUGAAGAUAUGAAUGUUUGAAGAUAUGAAAGUUUGAAUAAAUGAAGAUAUGAUGUCAUAUUUGUGCCCCAUACUUCCUCAUAUCUAAAGGCGAAUUCACAUGAGAAAGUUAGAUUUAAAGAUAUGAUGUCAUCUUUGUAACAAAUAAAGAGACAUAAUAAACUGCAAAAUGAAUUAAACUUGAAUCAAAUAUGUAUUACACACAUAUUAAAGUUGAAUUAAAAGAGAAUUAAACAUGAAUACAAAAUGUAGCAAACGAAAGAACAUUUUAUGAUCAGUAAACUGAAUAAAAUUUGUAUCAAUAAUGAUUUAAACAAGUAAUCCAAUCAUAACAAAUCAACCAAUAAACUGCAAAAUGAAUUAAACUUGUAUUAGAAGUGUAUUACACAAAUAUUAAAGUUGAAUUAGAAAAGAAAAUUAAACAUGAAUAAAAAACGCAACUAAUAAAAGACCAGACAUUGAUCUAUAGAGUAAAUUAAACUUGUAUCAAUAAUGAAUUAAACAAGUAAUUCAAUAGUAACAAAUCAAUCAAUAAACUGCAAAAUGAAUUAAAUUUGCAUUAAAAGUGUAUUACACAAUAUUAAAGUUGAAUUAGAAGAGAGAAUUAAGAAUUAAUGAAAAAUGUUACUAACGAAAGACAAGAGAAUGAUCUAUAGACUGAAUUCAACUUGUAUUAUUUAUGAAUAAAAUGUAUUAUAUGUGUCUUAUAAAUUAUUUUGAUUGUAUCACUAAGAACAUGAAUGAUGUUUGCAAUAUGUAUUAUAAAUGUAAUAUAAGUAUGUUACCUAAAUCAUUUGGUUGGUAUCAAUAAGAAGAGAGUGAAGUUUGCAAAUUAUAAAUGUAUUGUUCACGAUAAAACUUAUAUUAUAUGUGUCUUGUAAAUUAUUUUGAUUUGUAUCACUAAGAAAAUGAGUAACGGUUGCAAUAUGUACUAAAAAUGUAUUGUGCAUGUCUUAAAAAUGUAUUAUUAAUGUGCUACCUAAAUUAUUAUUGUUGGUAUCACUAAGAAAGAAGUGAAGUGUGCAAUAUGUAUUAAAAAUGUAUAAUUCAUGAAUAAAACAUGUAUUACAUGUGUCUUAUAAAUUAUUUUGAUUGACUAAGAAAAAGAGCAUUGUUUGCAAUAUGUAUUACAAAUGUAUUGUGUCUAUGUUAUANNNNNNNNNNNNNNNNNNNNNNNNNNNNNNNNNNNNNNNNNNNNNNNNNNNNNNNNNNNNNNNNNNNNNNNNNNNNNNNNNNNNNNNNNNNNNNNNNNNNNNNNNNNNNNNNNNNNNNNNNNNNNNNNNNNNNNNNNNNNNNNNNNNNNNNNNNNNNNNNNNNNNNNNNNNNNNNNNUUAUGAAACAUAUAUAAUACAACUUUAAUACAAUUGAGAUACAGUUCCGUAAACUUCAUAUUUUUCGAGCUUCAAUCUAAUAUUUCUCCUAAAAUCAAUUCUAAACUUAACCAAACCCUGUUAAAAUUGAGAAAUAAACUCCAAACGAUAUUUUCAAUUAUUUGUAGGAACAACCUAUCUAAACUAAUCACAAAUUCAUAAAACUUAAAUAAUGAAUUCAAAAUUUGAAGUUUUAUAAUGACCAUCAAUGGUGAACUCUUGAUGCUGUGAUUUUAGAGAUUUGAAAUUCCUGCUUGAGCACAUGAUUCUUAUCGUAUUUUUGGGUGAAAUUGCGAUAUAUGGGCAAAAACUGAUUUGAAGAUAUUUCUUUAAAUGAAAAUUUCAAAGAAAAAGAAGAAGAGAAGGAAGAGAAAAAAUGGCAGAGAAAGAGGGAAAGAAGCGAGAUAGAAAGGCUUUCACUGUACCAUUUUUUAGUUCCAAAUAAUUGCUAUAUCAAGUUAAAAAUAUUAUAUUGCCAUAGAUGGUAAAUAUUUUCUUAUUAUUGCAUAUUUAUGUGAUUUACCCAUAAUUAUAUGGGCUGACUUCGAGUUUGUAUAAUUAGUCACGUUUGUAUAUGUAUAAUUCGCAACUAACAAUUCUUUGUAUGAUUUGUAUUUGCAUACGAUGGUUUGUAUUUGUAUAUGACAAUGAUUUCCUUUGGUUUUUCAGUUUUGUCAUCAUAUACAUUCAAUCUUUUUGUGUAUAACUUUUUAAAGUUUGUAUAAACGUGUAGCUUUCGAAUUUUUAUAUAAUAUAAUUUAUAUAAUGUAAUUUGUAUAAUAUAUUAUGUAUAACUGUUUAAAGUUCAUAUGUUAUGUUUGCUAUAACUUAUUUUAGAAUAUAAAUGUCAAAUCUCUUUUUCUUUCUUAAACCUUAUGCCAUAGCAAACUAAGUCAUAUAUUUAGAUGGAAGAAAUAUUGUUUAUAGCCCACUUCAAUUAGAAACAGAAAAGCUUGAAAAAAUUGGAAUGUUAGGGUGUGUUUUGUACAAUAGAAAAUGUUAUAUUACACAUAAGUGAUUUUCUUAGUUGUUUUUUUUUUUUUCGUUUGGUAAGCAGAAAUAUUAUCCCAAGAGCGGUGGUGAAGCUAUGCUAUAUAUACUAGACAUUGAAUCUCUGUAACAUUUUUUGUGCUUUAUUUUUUUCUAUUUUGAGUUUCGUUUGUGAAAAUCUCACCUCUUGUCCAAAAGUAUCUUAUAUAUAAUCUAAACAAAUAUGAAAAAGUAAUAGAGUGUUGUAAAAGGAACUAGCUAAUUCUUCAUAACAGAAUCUUGCAGCAAAUAACCCUUUAAUGCCUACUACUCCAUAAUUAAUUGAUAACAUUUGCUACUAUUUGGAUACAACAGAACCUAACACAUGUACUUGCAACAGAUACAACUUCUAAAUGCAAUAAUUCACUUGAAGUAACUAGACAGUAUUGUUUAACUCUCAGGAUCAGAUAAAUACACAGGGCUAUCCAAAUCACCCAUUUCUGCUGAGGCAAAUGACUCAGAACUAUCUGCACUUGACAGGGAAGAAGGCGAUCCAUCAGAGUCCGACAUCCCCUCAUCAUGCAUAAUGAUGUGUUCAUCAUCAAUCUCAGAUGUAUCUGAUCCAGAACCACCUAGCAGAAGCUUGUUUAUGGCUCCUUUUGCGGUUUCAGUGAACCAUUCGUCCUCGGGUAGGGCACUGAAAAGAAAGACAUUUUCAUUAAUGAGGCUCACACAUAAAGAAGAUGAGAAGUAGUGAGCUAGGUGAAUGAGGUAUUUAUACCUUUGUGGAUCUAUGCCCCUGGCAGAAAAAGUCCUGACUGCACGUGCAAUUAUGUCUGAUGAUAUUUGAUGCACGUGCCUUGAUGGAUAGCCCGCAAAUCGUGCAAUUUCAACAGUGAAGUGCAUGUCAAGAAUUAACUGUCAAACAAAAAGUUGAUAUCAAGAUACAAAGAGGGUUUUAUCAUAACUCAAAUAUAGAACAUCAAAAUAUUUGCUUAACAAGAGAGCAAUUCACGUUGAAUAUCGCAAAUGAAUGUUAGUAUGACUUAGUCCGGUCAAAGACUAAGGUAUCUUUUUGGAAUUUCACCAAGUUAACGGCUAAUGAGAGAAUACCUUAAGCUCUUAAACUCUAAAACCAAUUAACAUAUUAUGCCGAUUGGGCUGAGGAAGUAAUAAGGGCAUGGACAAGAUACCUUCAUUUUCUUUCUUUUGACAAGGAACAAGAUACCCUUAUUUUCAAACACCCAGAUACUCGGAGAGUUACUUUUAGAAAGAGGUAGCACACAAAUGGCCGUCCUAUGCCCAACGAUGUAUCCUUUUAAAUUGUCCAUCCAGGAAUUUCUAACAGUUUUGAACUUUAAUCUGCAAUAGAGCCAUACAAUAUAUUCUGUUGCAGAGUUCAAAUUAAACAAAGCUAUAACAGCUCCUACACACUAUCCCAAAUUGAAUGAAAAUCCGGGUAGCAUGCCAACAGGUGAUAAGGUGAAAAAGUAGAAUGAAAUUGUGAUAAUACUCUAUUAUCUUCAGGUAGUACAACUAAAGACAGGGAAGUAGAUAUAACAAAAUACCUGCUGCAAACCCAGCGGCUGCAGAGGAGCUGACUCAUCCUCUAGAACACUCCAAAAUUCUUGUUCAUCAGACAACCACAUUACCACAGUCUCUGUCAGUCUGGCAAGCAAAACCUUCUGUAUCUUCUCUCUUCCUAAAAGAACAUCUCCUGCCACAGUUGCUAAUUGCUGCAGCUUACCAAAUAAUGCCUACAGGUUUGAAGAUUUAUCACCUUUUAGUUACAUGAAAGUGUUGGAAACAUAAGCAUUUUAUAAGGUUCUAUUUAGCAGAAACUGUUGAAAGCAUUUCGCAAGAAAAUACCGAAUAUUAGCACUUGGAUAGUCAGAUAAGAAUUGACAAACAGUUGUAAACCACCAUCAGAGAGACAAUGUAAAACUAUGCUUCCGCUGCUUGAACUUUAAAAAAAGUCAAACGAGCAUCUGCUGAAUAUUAUGAUGAAUGAUUGUCUAAUUUAUUUAUUUAAAAAAAAAAGAAUACUUAAGGAGGCAUUUGGCCAUGAAAUUCUUUUCACUUUUUCCAGAGUUCAACUCUGGAAAACACGUUUGGCCAUAAAACUCAGGAAGAAGUUGAAAAAGAACAAAAAGGUUUUCUCACUGCAAAUUACUCACAGAAAGUCAAAAACAACUCCACUUUGUAUUCACGGCCAAACACAACUGCCAAUUUUCAAAUAUCAUUUUUCACUUUAAAACAAAACUACUUUUUUCAAAUUUCACAAUGAAACAUGGUCAAACACCCACUUAGAAUCUCCUUAAAGUUGCUACUAUAAAGCAGUGAUUGAUGACCAAGCAGAAAAACUGGAAUUGAAGGUUUUGGAGGGCGAGUUAUAUACUAACAGCAAAGCAACACCAAUGAUGAACCAGAAACUCAACAGACACAGCAUUAACCUACUUGGAUAAAGGGAUAUUACACAUUCAGUCGCCCAAUUCACAAAAAGGAAAACUUAAUUAAUCUUAGACCGUUUUUUGUGAAGGGGGAAAUGAAGAGAACAAACUAAGACGGGCAAAAGAAUUAACUAGGGUGUGCUAUUCAUAGCACCAAUCAUUUCGGAAACUAGGACACAAAAGGAUUACAGUACCUGAAAUGGCAAUGAAGGUAGCGGAUCAGUGUCCCAAAUUGUAUCUUGUCCAACACCACUCAAAUAAAUCUGAGCAUCUAAUCGUGCAUCACCAUCUCUUGAGUAUAUGAAAUUAACAACAUAUUGUCGACAGAAAUUAUCUCUAAGUUUGUCUAGUGAAUGCUGAAGUUGACGCCUCCAGUCCUUGAGUUCUACAGUAUUGUUUGCGGCAGGCAUCAUAUUUUCAGACCCCACUUCCUUGCUUUCAUUAAGAACAUUCCAAAUUCUAGAUACAACCAUAGGCAAUAGUUCCUCAGCAAUGGUAAAUGCAGUUCCCAAUAGUGCAAGCUGCUGAGAGUCUGUUUCAGCUCUAAAAGGAACAGGUUCUUUCAGCUCAGUGAGAUUAUCAUCCUCAGAAAGACCAGGUAGAGCUUUAAUCAAUGAAUCCACAUACUUGUCAAAAAGAUGUGAAAUUCUGGUCAAUAUGUUAGCUCCAAAAUGUAGAAUGACUAACUGGGUGAGCUUCUCCACCAUUUCCUGCAGAGGAGGUCAAAGUUGGAUCAAAUUAUUAUUAAGCCAUCAUUACAAGAAACAGACAUCUGAUGCAGUGCUAUUGUUCUUGUCUCUUUUUUUUCCACAUGUUGCAGUUCAAAGCAAUCUCAAACAUCUAUCGGUGCUCCUACUUGAGCAAUGACAACUACUUGAGACAUCUAUUUAAGUGGCACCCCAUUGAAGGUUGUCCUAAAAUUGCAGCUAGCAGAAUCCAGCAGAAAAAGAACAAAAUCACGUGCAUUUAUGCAAUAUACACACGCAGACACAGAUAUUCAUAUACUGCACUAUUGAAAAUGGUAGUUAAGCCACCAUGCUGAAUAUGCAGCAAUAAGUGUGUUACAUACAAGACAGCUUCUUUUUCCCCUUCUUCAUUGGCAAAGCAGAAACGGUCCUUUGACGGAGUGGCCCUUUCAUGUUUUUAUACUAUUUUCUGCUCAAGAAAUAUUUCUUUUCUUGGACCAAGGAGGCACACUUUAACCCCCAAGGUUCUUUCUAUUUUUGCUAAUGAAUCCAGUAGUUGAAUAUACAAGAGUGUGUUCGUGUGUGUGGAUGGAGAGCAAGAGAGAAGAGAAUAAAGUAUCUAGAUUUAAUCUUCCAGUCUCUCAGCAGAUUCAGUUGUGCUAGAAAGGCCAAUCAUAGAAGUCUAUCAAAAACAAUAUUAUAGGUUACAAAUUGGUUAGAGUUCUUGCUGAAUUACCAAUUUUCAAAAAAAAAUAAAAAAUGGUUAGAGUUCUUGCAAGAAUACUUGCACACCUAUACGCCAAGUUAUGUAAAAGAACUUGCAUAGCAACUAUAACAAGGUGAGGGAGGUCUUUAUCGAGGGGAAUUAAUUUUAAAAAAAAGAAGGGAGAUUUAAAUCUGCACUGUGCACUUCAUAAAUCUAAGUCCUUUGAGGGAUACAGUAAUAACACUUGAGCAAUCAGAUGACCAAACAUUAAUAAAUAAGGAUUAAACCUUACUUUGACUAUAUAUAUGAAUCUCAUUCCACUUUCAACAAGCAGAGUAUCAGAUGUAGUUGCAAAUGUAGAUAAAGGAGACGCAAACCGAGGUGACAAUGGUUUCCCUUCAUCACUUGAAGCAAAAUCAAGAACCGCUUUCCUGGCUCGUAUAUAGUUCAACUCGAGGACUUCUUCCAUAUAUGGGUGCAAAAGCACCAAGAGUAAUUUUGACAGUUUAAGGCCCUGUUUCUCCAAGGCAUUACAGUGGUUAAGACUGGCUUGAACACAAACACUUGCUGCAUGUAAAGCAGGAGCUCCAUCAGAAGGCGGUGCGUGUUCUUUAACCAACCGCACAAAGUAUUCAAUUUCCCUUUCUGCCCACUGGAUAAUUCUGUUGCUAUAAACAGGAUUGUCACCAAACAUUGCACCAGAUUCCUUAGUAGUCAAAGAAAUGGUAGAGAAUACAAGGUUAGACAAUGUGGCUGAAUAAGUCUCGGGAUAACAAGGACAAAGGGGAAGGAAAGCCUCAAUACUUUUUCGAAGACGAGAUCUGUACGAAUUAACAAGUAGCUGAUGUGCCAAAGAACCUUUUCCAAGCUUGAGCAAACCAGACAAGGCUUUCUUAAGUUCAACAAUGCCAAUUGAGGGCCGUUCAGUGAUCUCAACCAGCUGAUUCUCGAGCAUCUUUUUUCUUUUAGACAAAGCAGAUUUAAAAGAUGAUGGUUCAGCAGAUGAAGUGUCUCCUGAACUUUUCAGCUCAGGAUGACUUCUUUCUUUAGCAUCUAUUGCCUCUAUUACUUCCUCAAUCUUGUGCUCAGCCAGAAGAACAUCAAUAUUCUCCAAAAACAACAUGUUUUCAUCUUCCAUGUCAUUCAUGAAAGUAUCACCAUAAUCAGAGCUUCGAGAACUUUCAUUAGCUUCUUGGACAUCAUCACUAGUUCGACUCCAUUCAUCCAAUUCUCUGCAUACACCAUUCAUGAGAUCUUGAACAAGAAUCCCCUGUGCGGAUAUAUGCUUUCUAAGCUCAUUGAGUUCGUGUUCUGUUUCCACAACUUCCUCGGACAAUCUACAAUGACAAGAACAGAUUAGAAGUUGACCUUUGCAUGUAGAGGGGUCACCUACCAUUACAUGAGUUCAUUUAAGGUUGUGUGAUAACAGUGUCUAUAACUAUCCAAUGUGUCUGUGAUUUGACCACUAAUCCAGUGUACUUAAAAGAAUCUGCACAAAGGACCCAUAUCCAAGUUGCACCCAUUUGGCAUGGGUACAUCAAGGCGAAUGAAGGACACAUAACAUGAUCAAGAGAUUAAACUGAAGGUGAUAGGUACAAAAAAUACAUAAAGCAGCCUGAUGCAAAAAGUAGGCAGUAAUGACAAAAAGAACAGCUGAACAUGCAAAGUUCAAAAAGACUAGAUGCAAGUAAUCGGUCUAGCUAAAUUUAUGGAGAUUAUUAACACCAUCUACAUUUUGAUCUAGAGAUAGUAAGUUGAACAGUCAAUAAACUCUCUUUCAAUGUGUUUUUUCAUAUCUCAUGUAUUUGUCGAUAAGGAACUAUGUCUUGUAGCCUUCUCGAAUAAAAAAGCUCUCAUAUAAUAAUUUGGAAUAUAAGAAGAGCAAUUUGAUGAUGAUUAUUCUCCUAUUUCACAAAUAGAUGCAAGAGCAAUUCGUCCCUUUAUUACAUGCUAUCUCUGCUUUCAGUUCCUCUACCUAAUUAUGCACGUAAAGCGUUCAGUAUUGAUGUUAGGAUUUCUGAUCAAAUAGAUAAUGGAACCACUAUAUAUUGAUAAAUCUGACUGCCAUUCUGUUAAAUCAACUCUUAUCUAUGAAAGUUUUUUUAAAAAAUAUAACAAACAAAAAGCAAAAAGAUAAUAUAGAAGGGUACACAAAAAAGGAAGCAUAAAACAGGGGACAAAUUGCACUUAUCCAGAUAAAUAUUAGAUAUCUUCUAAUGCUGUGCUAGUAAACCAACUGUUUAAAGGAUGUGUCUCUCCAAACUUUUCUACUUCUUACCGUUUCCCCACAACCGAAACCCCCCCCCCCCAGAACCAUAUAAAUGGAAAGACACGUCGGGUUCCCUCUACAGUUCUAAGGAAGGAUUCUCAAUAUCAGAGACUAGAACAUCAAGAGGCAACCCAUAAAAAGUGGACACAGUUGGGUUGAUUUUUGGUUCUUCUAGAAAUAGGAUUUGCUAUCGACAUGAACUCAACAUCAGACUUUAGUAUGAGUCCAAAUACAUAAACUACCAGAUAGUUCUCAUGGUCUCCUAGCUGUGAAGGGAUGCCGCCUUCUGUACAAAUUAUAUCACAUCUCUUUGAGGUAGUACCUGUAUUUGCCGAUGAUACACAUUUUCUCAUUUAAGUUUUGCCAUUGUGCCCUUGGAAAUUUAAGUUUUUAACAGACUGGUAACCAUAGUUUCCAUAGAAAAGGCAGGAAAAAUGUUUAUGAAAAUGUAGUAUUGAACAGAAUUCUCUUCCACUUUGUUUUGGUCUAGUAAAAGAGUUUCAUCAGCCAAUACCUCAAGAAGGCCAGGCACUUUGUUCGAGUAUUACCACACAGGUUCUCCACCGCAUCCUUCAAAUCCAAAAGCUCAAAACAGAUUUUCCUAAUUCCCUGCACAACUCAGAACAAUAAACUGGGGAACCCAUAAGAAAGACAAAAACUGGCAAAAUCAGCAAGCACUCCAAAAAUAGUGGGAAAGAUAAAAACUACUUUUAUCUGUGAUAUAUUGAAAAAUUAACCAAAAAGAAACGGAACAAGCACUUAAAGAAAUUGAGUAUGCAUUUUUUGGAAAUAAAAAAAGGUAAUAGUUUGGCACAUAACAAGCACUUACAGAUGUUUGUACUACCAAUUUUUUCCUAUCUAUUCAUGGUAUACAGAAUUCCUAAUAUCGACAUAACAGAAAUCAAGUUCGAUUAUUGUAGCCAACAUAUCUCCACACACAAAAAAAAGUUAAGGGAUGUUAUCAAAGAUAAAUUGGGAAGAACUCUAAUUGAAUUGGUUGAAGAUAAUACAAGAGAAGCUCUAAUACAGGAACCUUAGUCUACCUACAAUAAAAUAAGUAAUUAUUUUGUAUGUCCAAUAAUAUAUUCUUUAUGGAUAUGGGUUGUGUUAGCAUCAGGACAUGUUGUCAAGAAAAUUCUGCCCACCAAGGCUGGAGUAUAUAGGCUCACACCAAGUAUUGUAGUGUAAUUCGGACAUGAGAUUUCUAGGUUGUUACUCCCAUGACACAACCUCUAGGUCAUCCCCUUGUGAACAAAAAGGGGCAUCCUUUAGCUUUCUUCCUUAAAUCUUUUGUUUGGAAAAAAAAACUAAUUUUACCUUGCACUUGUUAACAAAGCAGAUUUUUAAAACUCCCUUGCCUUAUUUUCCCAACUCCUCUUAUUUGAUCAUAAUUCUUCACGUCUACUCACCGCAUCGCCAACCAUUCUCCUUAUUUUAACCUUUACCCUAAGGAUGGUUGCAAGCAUUCUGGUAUGAUCCACUACAUUUGCUCAUUUUAACUCUCAAGUACAGUUUGGAAUUAUUCUGGUCAAGACCAAGAACAGACAGUAUUCUGAAUUCAAAGUCCUCGUAAAUAUACUCAUUUCCAGAUAAGGUCCUCAUAAAUGUACUCAAAUUGUCAAGAUUCAUGUCCAACUAUAUCAGCGAGAUUACACUAAGAAUUAUCCACUAGGAAGAUUAUUUGAAGAAAUUUACUGAAUCAACAUUAAUAAAAUGAAAGAAGGCACUACUGGCACAUUAAUACAUCAGUAAAACUAGUACAUAGAUGUUGAAAUUUUACUGGUCUAAAGCAAAAAAAAUCCCCGAUUAUAUGGAAGAGCAUCUUUGAUGCAUAGAGAAGCUAUAGAUAAUCAACUAACAUCCAAAAAUGCUUAACAGUCCCAUCACACAUGAUUAAUUCAACCACUCUAUGAAGCUCAAAAUUCUAUAAUCCAUCCACAUGUAGAUGAAACGGAUAGCUUCUAAGCUUCCCUACUUCCAAUAAGCAGAUCCAUGAACCAGUCAUGCAGAACAGAAAAAACAACAAUUGUAGCUAGUUUUAAGCCCUGUUCUCCCUCAAAAAUCACACACAUCGUCACCAACAAAAAAUCAUGAACCAAGGAAUCAGCUCUUGUCCCUGCCUAGCAUAUAACCAAGUUAAGGCAGACACACUUCAGGAAGACCUAAGCCAAAUAUUUUCACCAAAGCACUAACAUUUACUCCCAGCACUUAAAAUAUAACCUAGGAAACCAAGUUGAAUUUGAACUCACAAUAUAAGGAACAUCCACUUAACUAUUCAUGGAAGAACUAAAGCUUAGUAUCACUUCAGCAGGUAAAACUAGGUUUGUUUCUUCUACUCUAAAAAGGGAUACCUCAAGAAACCAAACUAAAUAAAAAUUCCAAAAAAUAAAAAUAAAAAAUCCCACCUAGAAAAACUCACAAAUUUAGCUCAGAAAACAGAUCAAACUUCAAGGAAAGAACAAGCACACUUCCACAUUUCAUCUAGUACCAAAAAUUUUACUUCCAGUACUUGAAGCGAAAACCCAGCAAACGAAAUUGAACCACAACUCCAAAAAUAAAGAUCACCUAGAUGAAAAGUUCCAAACUUGAUUCCAAAAAUUGAUCAAACCCCAAGAACAAAUAAGAGCAGUUGAAUUUGCUAUCAUGCUAUUUUCUGAGUUAAUGAAACAAAAUGGGGGUGAAAAGAACGUAGAGAAAAUGCAAAAGAUAGUACCUUUUCAGUCUUGGACUGGUAAAUUGAGUCGAUCUUGGACUGAGGAGUAACACUUUCAAUACAUGGGAAAUCAUCUUCUUCUUCACUGCUUUCCAUCCUCAUUUUGGCGUUUCCAACCAGUAGAUUUUCCGCUUUUGCAGCUAUGAAAAUGGGAAAAAUGAAGAGACACACAGUUCAGUGGACUUCGCCUUGUAAUUGGAGAGUUCGAAAAAAGAGCCUUUAAAUUAGUAAAUGAUUUAUACAUGUUACCAAUUUAAUUAAUAUAUAUGUUACUAAUUUAAUUAAUCAAAAUAAAAUAAUUUAUGUUCCCUUACUGAAAACUUGACUUCAAGGAAUCACUAAACAAAGAUAUAAUGAUAAAUUUACCUAGUUUUUUUUUUUUUAAGAGACGUGAAAUCUAAAUUGAUGACAUAAAUAAAAAUGGAAGAGUAGUAUAAAGUACAGAAAUCUCAUAUAUUUGGAACUAAUUACAUUUUAUCUUGAAAGUUUCUUCAAUUACAAAUUGCUCUCAGAUACAUUUAUUAUUGUGCGAUACGUUGCAAAUUUACUUAAUGGGAGGGAUGUAUCCGAGAGAGGAUAAGAAUGCAUUCGAGAGGAGAUAGAUGUAUUCGAAAAGGAAUAGGAAUGUAUCCAUAAGAGAAUUUUUGUAACUUUUUUAAAUGAUAGGAAAUUUUAGAGAUCAUGAUAUCUCAAAUUGUGUAUUUAUGUAAAAAAAAAUUCCUAACUUGUGUUAUCAUUCAUUUUCAAAAAAAAAAUUGACAAAGAAAAAUAAAAAGGCCAAAAUGUUCCUUAAAAAGUCAUGACAACAAACAUAAUUAAUAUGAAUUUGAAAAAGGGGAAGAAAACAAAAGGGAAAUAUCAUUGAUUUGUAUACGAAAAACUACUACUACUAUUUGUAAUUGAAAAUGACUUCGAAAAAACAAGUUCAGAUAAAAUUGUACUAUAAAAUAUGUGUAUAACAACAUAAAUUUUGUACAACAAACUAGAAAUGAACUUUAGUCCAAAACUACAAAAAAAAAAGGGUGUUUUUAUAANNNNNNNNNNNNNNNNNNNNNNNNNNNNNNNNNNNNNNNNNNNNNNNNNNNNNNNNNNNNNNNNNNNNNNNNNNNNNNNNNNNNNNNNNNNNNNNNNNNNNNNNNNNNNNNNNNNNNNNNNNNNNNNNNNNNNNNNNNNNNNNNNNNNNNNNNNNNNNNNNNNNNNNNNNNNNNNNNNNNNNNNNNNNNNNNNNNNNNNNNNNNNNNNNNNNNNNNNNNNNNNNNNNNNNNNNNNNNNNNNNNNNNNNNNNNNNNNNNNNNNNNNNNNNNNNNNNNNNNNNNNNNNNNNNNNNNNNNNNNNNNNNNNNNNNNNNNNNNNNNNNNNNNNNNNNNNNNNNNNNNNNNNNNNNNNNNNNNNNNNNNNNNNNNNNNNNNNNNNNNNNNNNNNNNNNNNNAAAAAAAAAAUGGGUGUUUUUAUAAGAUAUAAAAGUUUGAUAUAAUAACAAAAAGUCGUGUACACUUGGGUGCAAUUUAUUCUAUUUAUCUAAUAAAGUUUUGGUAACGUAAACAGUAAAAAGAGAGAACUUUACAUGAAGAGCAAGUUUUGAUCAUAACAGCAACAACAACAAAGUCUAAGUACAUUUCAUUGAUAAAAUCAAGUACAAUACAUGAUAAUGUUUUAACUUUGUCAAGAUUGACAGAGUAUUUGUGAAGAAAUACAUAACAGAUAAGAAAAACACUUCCAAAGAUAAAUAAGAUUGUGGAACAAUUGCAGAUUACAAAUGUUGCAGAUAACUUAAGAGGGGAAGAAUAUGAAGCUUAAAAUGUUAUUAUUCCCCAAGUCUUCAGAAACUUGAAUCCUAUUUAGUGUUUAGUUGAAGAAUUAGCAAUCACAUUGAGGCGUCGAGGAAAGCAUCAGAGACAUCAAGUUCCACGUUCAGGUUUUUGGCUGAAGGCAUUCCUGCAACCACUUCUUCUUCAAUGCCACACUCGUUUGUUCCUCUUCUGAUCUUGAAGUAGCCAUCCUGCCAUGAAGACAAAUAUACAUUUGAGAAGAACAUCAUAAGGAUGUACGCGCUGCUCAAUUAGCACAUCUUCAAGAAGUAGGAAAGAUGAAAUCACCCAACAAUGUACAAAAGUAAUAGCUACGGAUGUUGAACAUUAUGAAUCAAGUGUGUAAAAUCCUAUUAAGAAAGGGUAAACCAAUGGUUCAACAACUUUUAAUAUUUUUCGUAGAAGAAGAAGGAACUAUUUCUGCUCAAGUAAAAUGUUGAAAGAAAAAGGGUUAGAUCAAGACAUACGUCACCCCAGCCUCUGUUCCAUUGAUUGGCAAGGAGCUGCAAAGCCAAAAAAAAGAUGAUCGAAUUUAGAAAGGACGGAAUGAUUUUGAAGAUCUUAAUGGCACAAUUAGAAGAUGUCAACAAACCCAAUAGUUCUCUCCAUCCUCAGAGGUUCCCCAUCCAAUGAGCUUAACAGCAUGUCCUCCCAUUUCCUCACCAUUUAUGUGUUUGUAAACUCCAGACUUGUAGUGAGCGAAAUCCUGCGCUCGAGAAACAGAAAUAGUAAAGAAACUAAUCCAAGUCGGCAAAUUUCAAUUUCACCAGAAAAGAGGAUGCAUUCACAAGGACACCAUGCUGAGGGCAAAUGCAAGAACAAAAUAAGCAGUCUACUACUUUAGUAUGCACCAAUUGACAAACAGUACGAUUAUGCAGAAAUGGCUCAAAUAUUUCCAGACUGAGAAAUUAGUGCGUUUAAACAAUGACCUCUAGAUCCAUUUAAGCAGAUCAUUGAACUUUCUAACUGGCACUUCAUUGUCAUGGACAUAAUUAUCCUGGAACAUAAACCUCUACAGAUCACUAAUUGGCACAAUAUUUCCACAAACAUAGUAGAUGGUAACACUAGAAUUCAGAAGGAUAGAGUUAGUGACCAACAAUUAUUUUGAGCUCUGUCGAACAGCUUAUCAACAAUUAUUUGACAGUUAACCAUCAAAAGAAAGUAAUUCCAAUUAUAUUUUGCUAUAUAACUCAGCCAAGCAUUAUUAUUGUCCUCACAUAUGAUUUGUAAGGGAAUCACAUUUAAAAAAUUAGAAAAGGGUAUUUGUAAUAUUUAACUAAAGUUUCUCAAAGUUCAUUAGAGUUGGCCUAAAAUAAGCCGUCCAAGGUUAACAAUAUCACGGGGUAGAUAGAGAACUGCUGUUCGAUUGUUGCUUGGGAUUAAGGCAUAGUUGUUAUUGUUGUUGUUUAUCAGGUUCAUGCAACAUUCAACUUCAUAUCAUAUAAUAUAAAUUGUACCCAAAAAUUCAGGAUCAGAACUUUACUCUCUUUCUCGAUCAUUCUUACCUCGUAAACAGUAAAAGAAACCUCAACUGGUCCAUUCUUGUAAACUUCUGUCAUGAUACUGUACGGAUCGGAGUUGAUCAGGUAUGCAUUGACGCCAAAAUGCUUGGAUUUACUCCAGAGUAGAUUCUCUUUAACACACUUCCUCUUGCACUGUGGAGUGGGAUAUCCAGGUUCACAUCCAGGGUGGGAACAUCCCUUAUUAUCAAAGUAAGGGUCACACUGACAGGAAAAAUUUUAUUAGUCGAGCAUAAUGAUCCACAAUCUUUUUUCAGAUUGGUAUAAGAAUCCCACAAUAUCUGAAAGAUGUAAUCCCUCUGAAGUACAAUAAGUGUAUAACAAAACAGAAUACCUCUUCAGUGACCACACCCUUGCGAACAAAGUAUUUCCAAGCUUCUAAUGGAUAUCCACCAUCACAACCAUCCCCACAUAAAUAGCCACAGCAUGCUACGAUAUCAUUAGCUGACAGAGAGAUAUUCUGCCUCACACAUAAAAAUUGAAUCAUUAGCGACAAUAACUAGAAUAAACUUGCAAGUUUUUGCAUGAAGGAAUGAAUUUACCAAGCCAUAAUGAAUACAGAAACGAUCAGACAAUGACUCAGCAGCACCAAAAGCCCAACAAGAACCACAAUGUCCCUGAAAUAUAAACGAUCAGAUUGUUAGAAUACCAGGAAAGAGCGAUUUAGCAAAUUCACGAGGAAAAACAAAUGAGUGAAAUUAGAACCAAGACAAAUCACCUGAUCUGCGUCGCAAAACAGUACCGGUGCAUGACAUCGAAAGAUGGAAAGCAUUAGCACCACUCUAUAGAAUUACAGCACUAAACCAAGGACAAAAGAGAAGAAACUAACCAAGAAUUCUCCCAAUAGUGCUACACUGAGGCCAAGCCACUCGUGCAUCAAACUCUUGGGGUAACUUCAAAAGUUCUGGAUGAGUUAAAAUAGGGAUGCCCUUCAAAUCACCCUUUCUUGUGGGCUUAACUCCAAGAAGGCGCUUAAAUUGGGAAACCUGUGAAUGAAGGGUACAUGCACUCAUAAAAGGAGAGCUGAAGGAUGUGGCAUUGCACAAAGAAAG
rnacentral:lncRNA from 1 species